UGUUGCUUAAUUUGACAAUACACGUAGAACCUUACCUAGGUUUGACAUCUAUUGCGAUGCUAUAGAAAUAUAGUUGAGGUUAACAAUAUGACAGGUGGUGCAUGGUUGUCGUCAGCUCGUGUCGUGAGAUGUUGGGUUAAGUCCCGCAACGAGCGCAACCCCUUUCGUUAGUUACUUUUCUAGCGAUACUGCUACCGCAAGGUAGAGGAAGGUGGGGAUGACGUCAAAUCAUCAUGCCCCUUAUAUCUAGGGCUGCAAACGUGCUACAAUGGCUAAUACAAACUGCUGCAAAAUCGUAAGAUGAAGCGAAACAGAAAAAGUUAGUCUCAGUUCGGAUAGAGGGCUGCAAUUCGUCCUCUUGAAGUUGGAAUCACUAGUAAUCGCGAAUCAGAC
rnacentral:rRNA from 1 species